UACGUAGGGUGCAAGCGUUGUCCGGAAUUAUUGGGCGUAAAGAGCUCGUAGGCGGUCUGUCGCGUCGGCUGUGAAAACCCGGAGCUCAACUCCGGGCCUGCAGUCGAUACGGGCAGACUGGAGUUCGGCAGGGGAGACUGGAAUUCCUGGUGUAGCGGUGAAAUGCGCAGAUAUCAGGAGGAACACCGGUGGCGAAGGCGGGUCUCUGGGCCGAUACUGACGCUGAGGAGCGAAAGCCAGGGGAGCGAACGGG
rnacentral:rRNA from 1 species